UUAUAUUCUCUUCCUGCGUUUCUGUACUCAUUGUUCUCUAUAAUCCCUCACACGACGGCUUCGGGUCUCUGUAACGGGAAGCCUAGAAGAUGAGACGUUGUCUUUACUUCAGUCCUUCAGUCUCUCCCACUACGAUGAAUUCAAUUUCAUCCUUCCCAAAAGAUCUGAUGAAAACCCUAAAAAGAACAUUCUAUGAAACUCGAGAAACCCGAGACGUCAAUGAAACUCGAGAUCUAAACAAGGGAGGGGAACUGAUUGAAGUGGACAUGCUCCUUGAUGAAAAGGCAACGCUUAUCCAAGGGUCUAUCAGUGAACAUCGGCUUAACACUUUCCGACAUCUUCUGAGAGAAGGUACAACUUACGAGAUCAGCGGAUUUGAUGUUAGAGGUAGCAUAACCAAAUUCAAGUUCUCAGAAAGGUGGAGAAUUAAUGGGCUUCAAUAUGCUGCUCUUGGAUGAUCAGUCCUCUCUCAUCAAAAUAUCUGUAUCUGUCCAUCGCCUAAACACUUUCCGAGAACUUCUAAAGGAGGGUGCUUUGUACGAGCUAAGUGGCUUUGAUGUCACCAGAAGCAACAACCAUUUCAAGCUCUGUAAUUCCAAUGUUGCCAUCCGUCUAAACCAGUCUACGAAGUUGGUCGAAGUCCCAGCUGUCGCUAAUCCAAGAUAACCCUUCUCUUUCAGACAUUCUUGGCGAGGUUUGCGACAUCAGGACAACAUACAAUGACCACAGUCAGACUACUCAACGACUUAUGGUUAACGACCGAGUAGAUAAGUUAAUUCUCUACCCACCUAUUACUCGAAUAAUUAACUUUAUAACCAGAAUAGAUAAUAACUGAAAAAAAAACACGUACAUCCUUCUCAGGGAUGCAACUGUUUGCGUCAGCGUUUUUGACAGUCUUGCUGAACUCCUCCACAAGAGAUUGGAAGCUGGU